rnacentral:lncRNA from 13 species
AGCCCCUCCCCGACCCGCAAACUGUGCGGGCGCAGCGCGCCCCCAGCACCUCUCCAUGCUCGCUUAAGAGGGGUCUCCACGUCUCAGAGGACACCCUCUCCGUUCCCCAACGUGGGCCCCGGAGCUCUGGGGGGAGUUUGUUUGUUGAGUCUCGCUCUGUCGCCCAGGCUGGAGUCCAGUGCGAUCUCUGCUCACUGCAACCUACAUCUCCCGGAUUCAAGCAGUUCUCCUGCCUCAGCCUCCUGAAGCUGGAAUUACAGAGUCGGGAUCUCAUUUCAUCACCCGGGCUGGAGUGCAGUGUCACCAUGGUGAAUCAUUACAGCCUUGAACUCCUGGGCUCAAGUGGUCCUCCUGCUUCAGCCUCCUGAGUAGCUGGGAACUACAGGUGGGCACCACCAUGCCCAGCUUAUUUCUUUUUAUUUUUUAGUAGAGACCAGGGUCUUGCUAUGUUGUCCACAUUGGUCUGAACUCCUGGGCUCAAGCGAUCCUCCCACCUCUACCUCCCAAAGUGCUGGGAUUACAGGUGUGAGUCAACGUGCCCUGCCAGGGAUUAAUUGAUUGGUUCAUUGAUUUUUAGUGAUAGGGUCUUGCUCUGUCACCCAGGCUGUAGUACAGUGGUGUGAUCACAGCUCACUGCAGCCUCCACAUCCUGGGCUCAGACUGUCCUCCCGCCUCAGCCUCCUGAGUCAUAAGAUUUUAAACUAUGGGCAUUUUCAGUCUUGCUGUUCACACGUGGUUAAUUCUCUACUCUGGCACUUUCCUAAGCAACUAUAAGCCUCAAAUGUUUCAUUGUCUUUUUUUUUUUUUUUUUUAUAGACGGGGUUUCACCAUGUUGGUCAGGCUGGUCUUGAACUCCCAACCUCAGCUCAAGGAGUCUGGGCAGGCCGAGAUUGGCAGAACUAACAGAAUCAACCGGUGCUUUGGCCAAAGGCAUUACCAACUGAUGGACAGCAGACCCACUCCCACCGGAAAACAGAACGACCCCUUAUAAAAUAGCUAUCGGAAGGCCUAUACGUCUAAUAAUAGAACUUCACCUGUCUCCUCCCUCCUAAACUCUGACUAAAUAUUGCAAGACUCUAACGCAUUGUGACAAAGCAUACUUUCACCGUUGACGCCGGCAAUCAAACCUUUCAGAAUCGGCAACCUGGAGCUUAGGUCUCCUGGAGCUGCACCAGAGAGAGACUGCCCCUGAACCCCCUUGGAAGAGACCAAGUUCUUCUCACCACCACACUGCAGUAGAACUUUGAGGCCUCAAAAUUUGGGUUCACAUGUCAUAACUCAAAAGGGCCCCUCCAGGCUCCCGGAACUGUAUGUGUUGGAGACCUCAGCGGUCUCUUUCUUUAGAUGCAGAUGGGACCCUGGAGGUGGGCAGCAUUCCCAACGCCACAGACCGAGACUUCUCUGUCAUCACAAAAGCCUUAUUUUUUCCUUUUUUUCUUUAUUACCUAUUGUCUUAAUCCCUCUCCUUUCCUUACAGGAGAAUCCAUGAGCCUAUAAUUUGUGGAUGGCUUUAGCACAGGCUUAUGGUCUGUAAAGAAACCAGAGAAAUUGUUGAGUCUGUGGGCUAAUGCCCCCCCAAAUCAGGAAGUACUUCCACUGAGGCCAGUGCCUCUCCAUGUUCUCAGUAAGAGUCACCCUGGCCAGGUGCAGUGGCUCAUGCCUGUAAUACCAGCACUUUGGGAGGCCGAGGCAGGUGAAUCACGAGGUCAAGAGAUCAAGACCAUCCUGAUCAACAUGGUGAAACCCAGUCUCUACUAAAAAUACAAAAAUUAGCUGGGCGUGGUGGCGUGCGCCUGUAAUCCCAGCUACUCAGGAGUCUGAGGCAGGAGAAUUGCCUGAACCCAGGAGGUGGAAGUUGCGGUGAGCCGAGACCGUGCCUUUGCACUCCAGCCUGGGUAACAAGAGCGAAACUCUGCCUAAAAAAAAAAAAAAAAAAAAGAGUCACCCUGGACCAGGUAGAGUAGCUCAUGCCUGUAAUCCCAGCACUUUGG